GGAACUGUGUGGGUUACUUUGUGCCAGAAGGCAAAGGGGUGUCCUCAAGAUGCCAGCAAAGAUAUCUGUAGAGAAUACAGUGGUCUGACAGCAAGGAAGGGGUGCUUCACAUCUUCAGUAAGCACAACAGUAUUUAAUCUGUCUCCCAGUGAGGAAGACAGCAAAAUCUAUGCAGAAGCUUCUCUCCUGGAGGAAGGCACAGGAGUCCAAAUCAACACGUCCAGCCAAAUUGUCAUUUCCAGGACAGCUGCAAGUGUAGUGUUUGAGACACCAAAUGCUUACUAUAUCCCUGGAGUACCCUUCAAG